rfam:Felis catus isolate Cinnamon breed Abyssinian chromosome C2, whole genome shotgun sequence.
GUCUGGGUGGCUCAGUCGGUUAAGCGCCAGACUUUGGCUCAGGUCACGAUCUCAUGGUUUGUGGGUUCGAGCCCCACAUCAGGCU